GACGAACGCUGGCGGCGUGCUUAACACAUGCAAGUCGAACGGAAAGGCCCUGCUUUUGUGGGGUGCUCGAGUGGCGAACGGGUGAGUAACACGUGAGUAACCUGCCCUUGACUUUGGGAUAACUUCAGGAAACUGGGGUUAAUACCGUAUAGGAGCUCCUGCUGCAUGGUGGGGGUUGGAAAGUUUCGGCGGUUGGGGAUGGACUCGCGGCUUAUCAGCUUGUUGGUGGGGUAGUGGCUUACCAAGGCUUUGACGGGUAGCCGGCCUGAGAGGGUGACCGGCCACAUUGGGACUGAGAUACGGCCCAGACUCCUACGGGAGGCAGCAGUGGGGAAUAUUGCACAAUGGGCGGAAGCCUGAUGCAGCAACGCCGCGUGCGGGAUGACGGCCUUCGGGUUGUAAACCGCUUUCGCCUGUGACGAAGCGUGAGUGACGGUAAUGGGUAAAGAAGCACCGGCUAACUACGUG
rnacentral:rRNA from 1 species